ensembl:lncRNA
GAGUGACUCACUCACAAUACUAAAGACCCACAGAAAAAUGAGAAUAGAGAGUAACAUCCUCCAAUGAUGAAGAUAAGCUACAAAAAGCCUACAGUAAGUGUUACACAUAACAGCACAAGAUUUAAAUGCUUUUCUGCUAAGAUUGGGAACAAGUUCCUGUUGCUCAAAACUGGACUUGGAGGCAGCAGACCAUGUGAUUGAAGAAUACAUUCUCCAAAAUAGAAACCAAGCCUGCUCUACCACUUAUAACCGCCUUGAGUACACAAGAGAGAUCGCUACGCCCGCAGAAACCAAGUCACAGCCUGGCUGAUUUUCAGACAUGCUGGUGUCCCUCUGAACCAGCUCUCUUGUCAUCAAUCUCUACCUGCACAAACACUGCAGUGCAUGAAAAUGGAACACCAACGGGAUGAUGACAGAGCCAGCCUCAGCUACUCUUGUUCCUUGGAAGUCCUCAUAGAAGAAUUGUCAACCAGUUGUCAACCAUUUCAGCUCAUUGGAAGAGCCAAGGCAGUCAGGACUCUAUUAUACCUCAAUGUGGACACAGCUGUGACAGGUGCGGAGGGGAAAGUGGAGCCCUUGCCACAGCACUGGGUCUUCUCAAAGCCCUGGAGAAAAACUCAGUAUUCCAUCUACUCAUCUCAAUCUAAGUUUUACAAUGUUCUGGUUAAAGAGCAUUUGUCUAGAACAGAGGGGGGAAAUGUUCCACUCAUAUUCUAUCUGUACUUUGUGAUUACCAAUGGCAUCUAACAAAAGGGAAAUGAAGUAGAAGAGUGAAUUAAAUGUGGAAGGAGAGAGAAUAGACGCAGAUGCAAUAAUUAGCAAGCAUUUCUUGUCAUCAUGACAAGAAAAUUGAUUGCUUCAUACUAGGAAAGAAUAGCAAAUGAAGGACUGGAGAUUCAUGUUAGCAUUUGAGGCUAUGCAUUCAACACAAUACUUCAAAAGAUAAUGAAUUAAUUCAGAGGAACUUUGGAAUAAGAGCCACUAGCAUAGCUGUGGACAUUUGACUGUGUUCUCUGCAGUGUUCAAGAAAUUUGGUUUACAAAUGAAUAAAGCAUGAUUUUUUG